rnacentral:rRNA from 1 species
UGGGGAAUUGUUCACAAUGGGCGCAAGCCUGAUGACGCAACGCCGCGUGGGGGAUGAAGGUCUUCGGAUUGUAAACCCCUGUCGAAUGGGACGAAAGACUCGGGAGCUAAUCAUCUCGAGAGUGACGGUACCGUUAAAGGAAGCCACGGCUAACUCUGUGCCAGCAGCCGCGGUAAUACAGAGGUGGCAAGCGUUGUUCGGAAUUACUGGGCGUAAAGGGCGCGUAGGCGGCCAUCUAAGUCAGACGUGAAAUCCCCCGGCUUAACCUGGGAACUGCGUCUGAUACUGGACGGCUUGAGUAUGGGAGAGGGAUGUAGAAUUCCAGGUGUAGCGGUGAAAUGCGUAGAUAUCUGGAGGAAUACCGGUGGCGAAGGCGGCAUCCUGGACCAUUACUGACGCUGAGGCGCGAAAGCUAGGGGAGCAAACGGGGAUUAGAUACCCCGGUAGUCCUAGCCCUAAACGAUGAAUACUUGGUGUGGCGGGUAUCGAUCCCUGCCGUGCCG